CUGGAGGUAUCAGAAGUGCGAAUGCUGACAUAAGUAACGAUAAAGCGGGUGAAAAGCCCGCUCGCCGGAAGACCAAGGGUUCCUGUCCAACGUUAAUCGGGGCAGGGUGAGUCGACCCCUAAGGCGAGGCCGAAAGGCGUAGUCGAUGGGAAACAGGUUAAUAUUCCUGUACUUGGUGUUACUGCGAAGGGGGGACGGAGAAGGCUAUGUUGGCCGGGCGACGGUUGUCCCGGUUUAAGCGUGUAGGCUGGUUUUCCAGGCAAAUCCGGAAAAUCAAGGCUGAGGCGUGAUGACGAGGCACUACGGUGCUGAAGCAACAAAUGCCCUGCUUCCAGGAAAAGCCUCUAAGCAUCAGGUAACAUCAAAUCGUACCCCAAACCGACACAGGUGGUCAGGUAGAGAAUACCAAGGCGCUUGAGAGAACUCGGGUGAAGGAACUAGGCAAAAUGGUGCCGUAACUUCGGGAGAAGGCACGCUGAUAUGUAGGUGAAGCGACUUGCUCGUGGAGCUGAAAUCAGUCGAAGAUACCAGCUGGCUGCAACUGUUUAUUAAAAACACAGCACUGUGCAAACACGAAAGUGGACGUAUACGGUGUGACGCCUGCCCGGUGCCGGAAGGUUAAUUGAUGGGGUCAGCGCAAGCGAAGCUCUUG
rnacentral:rRNA from 1 species